UACGUAGGGUGCAAGCGUUAUCGGAAUUACUGGGCGUAAAGCGUGCGCAGGCGGUUGUGCAAGACAGAUGUGAAAUCCCCGGGCUCAACCUGGGAACUGCAUUUGUGACUGCACGGCUGGAGUGCGGCAGAGGGGGAUGGAAUUCCGCGUGUAGCAGUGAAAUGCGUAGAUAUGCGGAGGAACACCGAUGGCGAAGGCAAUCCCCUGGGCCUGCACUGACGCUCAUGCACGAAAGCGUGGGGAGCAAACAGG
rnacentral:rRNA from 1 species